ACCACUGAGAGUACAGAAAACACCUGUGAGAAAGGCUGGCAUCCAGGGUGGGAAACCUCUUUUGAGGGCGUGAACCAGGAUAUGAAGCAGCAUUUGAAUUCUUGCUGCUCUCUUCUGGAGUAGUGGGAUAUUGGGCAGUUCACUUAACUUCUCUGAGCUCCUUCCUCAAGCCUUUUUUUCCUGACUACAGUGAGCAACAGCUGUUUGAGAUGGUGGAGCACAUUCUUGCUGGUGAAAGGAAGCAAGGUCAACAGAGACUCAUAGAGGAAACAUUCAACAACUUGAACAGUAAGCAAUUUGCAGUUUCCGUCUCAGUGGACUGAGGUGAUACAGCAGAUUUUGCUGUGGACCGAGAUCCAGUUUUCCUCAUAACACUCACAGCUUUGGACCCCUGCACCUGCUGCUAUGCUACACUGGAGGAAACAGAGCUCUGCAAGACCCUCAGCAACUGCUUCCCAAGUACAUAAGAGGAAAACAAACCAAACCAAACCACCAACACACACACAUGUUCACACAGACACAUACAUGUGUGGGAUAAGAGGCAGAGCUAGAGUCCAUUUUCCAGGUCAGACUUGGGACUCCAAGCCUGACUUUGGAGUGAUUCAAAUCACCUUCCACCUAUUUUGCUGCUUGUUCAGUUCAGUACACGUUAAGAAUGGCCCCCAACCAACAGGGAACUGGUUUGGUUAUCUUCCUUUGCCUUUCAAAUUCACCCAAGCAAAGAUAAAAGUAUUAAAUGACUAAUCCAGAUCCCCAGCACCACAUCAAGCUCCUCAGGGUUCCUCUUCAAAGCACUGGGCACUUUGAAAGAUAACUGUAAAGGUCACAUUUGUAAUAUAAGCAAGAACUUCUUAAACAGACAUGUAAGUAACUGCACAUAGACAUGACAUGUCAUAGCUCGAGAAAUCUUUUAAAGUAAAGUUUACGCCAAAUUAACUUCCAACAGCUCCGACUCUCCAGACCAUUCUUGGUACUCUUAAUGACAGACUGUGCAGCCCAAAGCCUGCAGCUGCAGUGUCAGGACAAAUUAGCCUAAAGUGGAACAAAAGUCAAUGUGAAGAAACGUGGUAUCCGGCAAGGUCUGACUUUUGAAAUUCUGAGAUUGAUGACAUUUUAAAGGUGUAGGUAUAACAGAAUGUGUUUUCCAUAUUUGUAAGCAAUUCUAGGUUCCUGAGCACUGAGAGAAAAGCAAAGUUAAUUUCUCACCGUAGGAGAAGGCCUCAUUAUUUUUGUGCACAUACCUGACUGUCCUGUGAUCAAGAAAAGGCAUCUUUUAAAAGAAUCGUUUUGAAAUGUUUAUCUCUUAUUUGAAAUCCAAGAAAGAGAGUAGACAUUCAUUUCCAAAGAGGACCAUAAAUCAUAUAACGCUGGGAGAAAGGUCAACACCACCAGCACAGUACAGUUUUCUCACGUAUGCUUAAGGAUUUUCAGAAUCUCCAAAUAAUAGCAUGAUGUAAACUUUGAAUAAAAAAGAACACCAUCAAGACUCCACUGAACAAAGAACGUCUGACUGGAAAUGCUUACGGCACCCUUCACAUGGUUGGGCAACUUUCCUCUACUGUUCCACCCCUUCUGCCUGUGCAGCUGCCAGAGUUAACUUAUCUUUAUCAGAAUCACAAAGGAACACUCUCCUGCUUAUUUACAAGGCUAAAAUGACAUCUGGUGGCGCUCUUCUCUGAGAACUCAGUCACUGUUCCUGGAAAAUGAUUCAAAAGCACAAACUUUUGCAGGGCAACUGUAGGAGUAUUCUUGUGCAUGUGUGUUAAGUACUAACUGCUGAUGUUGCUCAAAUGUUCCGCUAGUCCCUGUAGCCUCACAAUGUUUUAUUCAUUGUCCUGUGAUCAAUUCAAAAAAGCCAUCUUUUAUAAGAAUGGUUUUGAAGUGUUUAUCUUUUAUUUGAACAUCCAAGAAAGAGUAGACAUUGACUUCCACAGGGGACCAUAACUCCUAUAAUGCCUGAAGGUGCUUAAAAUAUAGUGAACUGUGUUAAAGUUAAUAGGAUACAUCAUUAGUGUGUUAAAAAAUGUAAAAUGGUGACAUACUAUCAGCUCACCUGGGUAAGGAAAAUAUGGCUAAAGUACCUCUAAAGGUAUCUACUCAUUAAGUAUACUGACCAAACUUCAGACAUUUUACUUCGACCACAGAAAGUAUUAUUUGAAAAAAACAAUCAUUACAAAAUUAUAUAUUUAAUUAGGAAGUAAAACCUAAAUCUGUAUUUACUAGCAAUACCAACUUUAAAUAUUCUAGUUGCAGCUGACAACAGAAAUUCUAACAUGCAUAUGUUGUUGCGUAAUAGCCUCUUUUUCCUAGUUGGGUAUGUUUGUAGAGACAGAAAGGUCCCCUGACCAAUUGUGCAAUAGAGCCCCAAGAUACUUAAGCCUGGAACUACUCUCUCAGACUUAACAAGAUGUUCAUCUUAAUUUCUAUCAGAUUGGGACAAAACAUUCACUCUUUAGAUAAUAGAGGAGAGACUAAAGAACAUGUCAUAAUAGUCAAAUUUGUGCCAAUGUUAAAUCUAUCCCUUUAAAAACAUGUAUUAUUGUGAGGCCACAGGGAUUAGUGCAACAUUUGAACAGAAUCAGCAGUUAGUACUUAACACACAUGCACAAGAAUACUCCUACAGUUGCCCUGCAACCAAGAAGCUAAUAAAAGAGCCAGGCUUUUCAAAUGAACACCUCGAUGAUGACACCAUUAGUUAUUCAGCAAAAAUAAAUGCUUCAUUAACUUGUCUUCCCACUGUUAAAGGAUAGGAUGAAUUUACCUCAAGGCAGCAACUCAGAUAUUAACGUUCCCUUACAUUUUAGAGCUCACUAUGCAGAAAUACCAGAAAUAAGGUGACUUAAAACUCAAUUUGUCUGUAAAAUACACUGGCCUUUGGAAUCCAGAAACCCACUUGGUCCUGACUGCCAAUUACUUGACCUUCCUUUUGUUACUUGACCUCUCUGGAUCUCACUAAACUCAUUUGUGAGACAAAAGAGGAGAUGUCCAAAGUUUUUUCAUCUCAAAUAUGUUACGAUUUAGAUUCAACAAUUAUUUUUCCAAUUCCUACCACACACCCCGAAUACUGAGGUCACGCUGAGGUAUUAUUUGCCUAAGACUCUCGUAAAUGACUCAAUAAGGGAUCAACUCCAUCAGUGCAGUGGCCAGCAUUGAGUGAUCAGCAAAAAUAUCUCAUUGAGUAUUUCUAUGAUGUCACAGCUGUGCCUUUUAACAUAAUAUAACUUGAAUGUAUGCCUCUUAUCUAUUAAAAAAAUUACAAAUU
rnacentral:antisense_RNA from 1 species